rnacentral:tRNA from 1 species
GGCCUCAUCGUCUAGCCCGGCUAGGACACAUCCCUCUCACGGAUGGAACAGGGGUUCAAAUCCCCUUGGGGUCA